UUAAUAAUUUAUAUAUAAUAUUUUAUGAUAUUUAUAUAAUAUUAACAUAAUUCAUAUUACUAUUAUUAUUAGUAUAUGAAAUUUUACUUUGAGAAAAUUAGAGUGCUUAAAGCAGGCUUUUGCCUUGAAUACUCCAGCAUGGAAUAAUAUAAAAGAUUUUUAUCUUUUUUAUUGGCUCUAAGAUAAGAAUAAUGAUUAAUAGGGACAGUUGGGGGCAUUUGUAUUUAACAGUCAGAGGUGAAAUUCUUAGAUUUGUUAAAGACAAACUAGUGCGAAAGCAUUUGCCAAGGAUGUUUUCAUUAAUCAAGAACGAAAGUUAGGGGAUCGAAGACGAUCAGAUACCGUCGUAGUCUUAACCAUAAACUAUGCCAACUAGAGAUUGGAGGUUGUU
rnacentral:rRNA from 1 species